rnacentral:rRNA from 1 species
GUCUUAUUGAGUAUAAUUUUAAGUCUAAUCUGCCCAAUGAAGUAAUUAAAUGGCUGCAGUAUCUUGACUGUACAAAGGUAGCAUAAUAAUUAGUUUCUUAAUUAGGAACUGGAAUGAAUGAUUGAACGAGAUAAUAACUGUCUUGAUUUAAAUUUUAGAAUUUUAUUUUUAAGUUAAAAAGCUUAAAUUUUUUUAAAAGACGAGAAGACCCUAUAGAAUUUUAUAUUAAUAUAAAUUUUUUAGUGGAUGUUAAUGAAUAUAUAAUUUUAAUAUUAAUAUUUAGUUGGGGUGAUUGAAAAAUUUAAUUAACUUUUUUUUAAAAAAAACAUAUAUCUAUGAUUAUUUGAUCCAAUGAUUUUGAUUAUAAGAUUAAAUUACCUUAGGGAUAACAGCGUAAUUUUUUUAGAGAGUUCUAAUCGAUAAAAGAGAUUGCGACCUCGAUGUUGGAUUAAAGUUAAUUUUUAAUGCAGAAGUUAAAAUAUUAGGUCUGUUCGACCUUUAAAACUUUACAUGAUCUGAGUUUAAACCGGUGUAAGCCAGGUUGGAUUCUAUCUUUAAUAAAUUUAAAUAUUUUAGUACGAAAGGACCAAAUAUUUGUUAUAAUAGGUUAUUUUAGAAUAAUA